rnacentral:rRNA from 1 species
GACGAACGCUGGCGGCGUGCUUAACACAUGCAAGUCGAACGGUAAGGCCCUUCGGGGUACACGAGUGGCGAACGGGUGAGUAACACGUGGGUGAUCUGCCCUGCACUUCGGGAUAAGCCUGGGAAACUGGGUCUAAUACCGGAUAGGACCCUGGGAUGCAUGUCCUGGGGUGGAAAGCUUUUGCGGUGUGGGAUGGGCCCGCGGCCUAUCAGCUUGUUGGUGGGGUGAUGGCCGACCAAGGCGACGACGGGUAGCCGGCCUGAGAGGGUGACCGGCCACACUUGGACUGAGAUACGGCCCAGACUCCUACGGGAGGCAGCAGUGGGGAAUAUUGCACAAUGGGCGCAAGCCUGAUGCAGCGACGCCGCGUGAGGGAUGACGGCCUUCGGGUUGUAAACCUCUUUCAGCACCGACGAAGCGCAAGUGACGGUAGGUGCAGAAGAAGGACCGGCCAACUACGUGCCAGCAGCCGCAGUAA